CAAUAAAUACUACCAAAAGUGGGCGAAUUUGUCAGAAAUGGUCUUUACAAAUUCCUCAUACACACGAUAAAACAUGGUUAGGAGAUAAUAACUAUUGUCGUAAUCCACACUUGUUUCCUGGAGGACCAUGGUGUUUCACUACAGACGAGAAUGUACCAUUCGAGUAUUGUGACAUCCCAGUAUGUGAAAAACGUCCAAACGAAAGAUCAAUCGAUUGUCCUGCGGUGAAAUGUUAUAAUGAUGCAACACUCCUACUGGAAACAUGUACUUGUAGCUGUUUAUCACCC